rnacentral:rRNA from 1 species
GUGUCAGCCGCCGCGGUAAUACAGAGGGUACAAACGUUGUUCGGAAUCACUGGGCUUAAAGCGCACGUAGGUGGUUCGGUAAGUGCGAUGUGAAAGCCCCCGGCCCAACCGGGGAACUGCAUCGCAGACUGCCGAGCUUGAGAGCGGUAGGGGAGACUAGAACUCCUGGUGGAGCGGUGAAAUGCGUAGAUAUCAGGAGGAAUACCGGUGGCGAAGGCGAGUCUCUGGUCCGCUUCUGACACUUAGGUGCGAAAGCUAGGGGAGCAAACGGGAUUAGAAACCCCAGUAGUCC